GCGAGCGAAUCAGUGUAUACCGAGCAUCUACAAAUUGUCGAUCAUUAUGUGCGAGUUAUCAGCGAACACUUAUACAAUGUCUUGGCGAAUACGUUUGUGCAAGCUCCUCUACAAGUGCUCUACAUUGUGAACCGGAGUAAGAGAAAACGUUUACAACCGGCCGGAAGCUGUAAGAUUAAUACAAGAAACAUUUUUGCCAAAAAAACCAGCUUAUCAGAUAUACACCGAAGUAUUCAACAAGACGCGUAUAUUCCAACUGAUAUAUUUAUCAGACAACAGAAAAAGCGCUUCUGGCCGAGCUUCUUCGACCUCAUCCCAAGGAUGUACAGGUGAACACGAUUUACUCGUAAUUGAAGUCGCAGAUGAAGAAGAAAGUUCCCAGAGAUUCGGUAACUUUCUUUGACCAGUUGAUCGGCGGAGCUCAUCACGCGGAGCGGGCGAAAAAUGAUAAGCGGGUAGGACAAUUUAAAAAUUAUGACUUUAAAGCUAUGAGGGUCUCUGCGAAGUCAAAGGAAAAAUGUUCCCGCUGCAGAACCCGAAAAUCUAAAAAAAAGCGGAACAGCGGAAAAUCGCGAGGUGCACUGUUAAAAGAGCAAUUCGCAGGAACGUAAACGUAGCAAAAAUCGAAUACCCGCGACGAAAGCGGUGCAAAUAACAAUAACCGAACGACGGAAGAAAACACCAGGAAUAGGUACGUUACGCGGCCUGAGCGAAGAGUCCGAUUUCCCGACUGGUUUCAGGCAAGUUUCCGUUAAGAAUCGUAAAUUGUCGGACACAGGAUGUAUCGGCAACUUUUAAAAUAGCGAUGACCAAGGAGAAAAUAGUGUAAAUAAUUUUAUAAAUAUAACUUAAUAAAAACGUUAUCACUGGUAGGGGGGUGAUGUAGCGGCACAUUAGUAGAGGACAAUUCAAAUCACGUUGUUGUUUUGUCUCGGACUAUCAAGAUCUUUAGGAUACACGUAAUGUAAUAAUAAAUAAACUCCGGGUAAAACAAUGUCGCUGCUACGUGCAACCGUCGAAUAAAGACAAAUUUAAAUUUUCCGGCUCCCCCCCCCCUCCCAACCAGUAUAAAUAAACGGACACGAUCGCGAGCGAAUCAUUGUAUAUGUGCGAGUUAUCAGCGAGCAGUUAUACAAUGUCUUGGCAAAUACGUUUGUGCAAGCGUAUUUAUAUUUAUUAAUUUAUUUCAUUCUUUUGAAUAUAUUUAACAGGUUGCAACAGCAA
rnacentral:lncRNA from 1 species